rnacentral:rRNA from 1 species
UACAGAGGGUGCGAGCGUUGUCCGGAAUCACUGGGCGUAAAGGGCGCGUAGGUGGCGGCCCAAGUCCGUGGUGAAAGCUCGCCGCUUAACGGCGAGUCGGCCACGGAGACUGGGUGGCUCGAGCACUGUAGGGGCAGAUGGAAUUCCGGGUGUAGCGGUGGAAUGCGUAGAGAUCCGGAAGAACACCAGUGGCGAAGGCGGUCUGCUGGGCAGUUGCUGACACUGAGGCGCGAUAGCGUGGGGAGCAAACAGG